rnacentral:sRNA from 1 species
AUAAACUGUUGAUUUUUCCCACUCCAUAGAGCACACAGCCUCUUCCCUGUACUUGGAGGGCCCAACACCCCAGGCAGAGUUUUACUUCGAUGACGCCUCUCUUACCGAGAUACCAGAGAAUCCGAAUUGGAAGACAGAAGCUGACCAGCGCAUUGAAACUCUGAGGAAGAGCAAUAUCAAUUUCAAUGUCAAUGUGGCUCCAAACUUCAAUGUUAAUGAUCUUAAGCUUCAGAUCGAUCACACCAAACAUUUAUUCGGCUUUGGAACUCAAAUACGUAGUGACUACAUUGUUAGCCCAGACUACCAACAACUUCAGAACAUUAUCUAUUACCUGUUUAACUGGGCCACUAUAGAGGAAUACAAGUGGACCUACAACAGAGGCACCAGAGAAAAUCCUGACUUUACCACGGCUGUAGCUGCCACAGAUGAGCUUCGAAAGCAUGGGCUAAACGUUCGUGGUCACUGCAUGUUCUGGGCUGUGGGAGGAGACACACAACCAAGUUACGUGACCGCCAUGUCUGGACAAACUUUAAAAGAUACAGUCGAUGAACAUAUACGUUACAUGACUGGGAUCACCAAGGGGAAGUAAGUCAUUGUAUC